rnacentral:sRNA from 1 species
UGUGCUAGUCCGCAAUGAUUGCAGGGGA